rnacentral:rRNA from 1 species
GAGCUUGAUCCGUUGCUCAGAUUGAACGCUGGCGGCAUGCCUUACACAUGCAAGUCGAACGGCAGCACGGGAGCAAUCCUGGUGGCGAGUGGCGAACGGGUGAGUAGUACAUCGGAACGUGCCCAAUCGUGGGGGAUAACGCAGCGAAAGCUGUGCUAAUACCGCAUAAGAUCUACGGAUGAAAGCAGGGGAUCGCAAGACCUUGCGCGAAUGGAGCGGCCGAUGGCAGAUUAGGUAGUUGGUGAGGUAAAGGCUCACCAAGCCUUCGAUCUGUAGCUGGUCUGAGAGGACGACCAGCCACCCUGGGACUGAGACACGGCCCACACUCCUACGGGACGCAGCAGCGGGCAAUU